CGCUAGGUUUCGCAAUUUUCCCUCUGAUCGGCUCAUAACCUGAAGGUCGCAGGUUCAAAUCCUGCCCCCGCAACCA
rnacentral:tRNA from 1 species